ensembl:lncRNA
GAAGAAUUUGGGAGGAGCCAAAGGAGCGAGGAGACGACCAACUGCCCAGAGUGCUUCUCGUUAGAAUCUGCCUUGGCUGAUUGAUGCUCCACCAGGAAGGACCCUGAGUCGACCUAAGAGCCAAGCAAGAUGACUGGCCAGAGACAACCUGGACACUAACAGCAUCACCAUAAACCCUGAGACUGCGAGCCACAUGGCAAAACAGUUCCCCCUGGGGUCCCUUACCCUACUGAUCUCUGCCCGGGCACCCCUUCCCAGUAAAGUCUCUGCUUUGUCAGCACGUGUGUCUCCUCAGACACUUGAUUUCCGACUGCUAGACGAGACCCCACUCUCAGGCCUGGAAAGGGUCCCCCUUGCUGCAACAACCGUACGUAUGACACGGGGCACGGUCAGGUUGACAAGAAGGAUAUUGAGCUGAAAACCACCAUGCCUGCUGACACAUUCACACAGACAUCUGACGUCAGCUGUCCCCACCCCCACCAUCUGUGCUUGACACAGUGGAACACUCAGACCUUCCACUCCUCCAAUCCUCCCUUGAGAAAGAAACAUACCAGUUUUCCAUUGCUCUAAGAUGGGGAAAGCGGGGAGCUUGUCUCUAUAGUGCUGCAGUGUGUCAUUUUCAUGGUUUGGCUUUUAAGAGAUUGUUUAACUCAUAUAGAAUAUUUGUUCAGUUUGACCUAAGCAGUCAACUUGGCAGCUCUGAGAGCCCUGUUCCCACUUGGGGCAACACUGUUAUCACUUGAAGCCAGGAAGUUUGCGCUUCAGGGCACAGGGGAGCCCCAUAAAGAUGACACGGACGCAUCGCCGUGCUUCUGAUCAUUGAGCUCAGCUGUCUCUGAGAGCUUGGGAUGCGUGUGACAUCUGUGGUGCUGCUAGGACAAUUCCCCACGUCCCUCUGUAACCUGAUGCCUUUGUCAUACUGGAGAGGUCCAGCCAGGAGGAGAGGCACUAAUUGAAGGCACGUGGUUUCCAUUCCCCCCGGGGAGGAAACGCAUUUGAUGGCUUCCUACAUCUCCGUCAAUCAACAGGCACAGGUAUUGGCGGUAAGCUGAGCGGAGGACACUGAGGUGGGUGUAGAAAAAUACAGAAGUUCGAAGAAACAAAUAUCCCACUGGCAACAUUAUUAUGAAUCAGAUAAAGGAAAGAAGAUCUGGGAUGAUGCCACUGUGGUUCAGGGUGCUGAGGUCACCUGUCCAAGGUCAGGCAGCUAAAACCUGGCCCGGGUGGAAUGAAAACAUAAGAAGAACCUGACAGGCCAUGGGGAACACAGCCUAAUUAGCGAGGUGUCCCAGGCGCGGUGAUAACAGGUUGAAAGGAUGUGUGACCAAGCGGCGGUCCUGAAAGCUCAGGCCGUGUGGAUCUCCAGAAUUCUGAGGCGCCCAGCUCAGUGAGGCUCCUCACUGCCCCCCUUCCCAAUCAUCAAAAAUCAUUCCAAGCCCACAGUGUGCCCUCCGGGGCAGGCCAGAGACGCGUCUGCAUGCCAACACCUCUGGGAACUAAAAGGCCCUCCCCCAGUGGACCAGCACUGAAUUCCAUGGGUCACAAACUGUGUGCAGUGUCGCAACUGUGGUUCAAGGGGAACUCCUGGCUGAAGCCCACAAGGGGCAGGCAGGGGCAUCAAAGCAGCUGCCCUCUGCUCCCAGGGGACCUGGAAGAAAGCGGUCUUGACCUUUGCGUGACCCAUGGCCCAUGGGUGACAGAUGUCGUGCUAUGAACUGUGCCUUCACCCUAAGGCUGAGCAGCUGGGCAGAAGGGAGACACGUGAAUGGGCCGAGGCUGUGAGGGAGCAUGAGAAAGCACUGCCGUCCACACCAACGUCUCAUAACCAACAAGGGGCAUGUGGACCACCAGUCAGUGGCAUGGGCAGACGCUCCCAGAUUCUGGAGACACGGCCCUCUCUCCUAUCUCCUAAGGAUGCCUGUAACAUGUCCAAGGGCUUUCCCUUGCAUCCCUGCCCAGAAGCCCCCGAAACAGGCAGUCAAAGGUGUCCCUACUUGACAGGAAUAUCAGGCUCCCAAAGGCAAAGCGUCUGCUGGAGCUGACCAAGGCAGCCUGUGAGAAGAAGCUGCGUCCGGGCUGUCUCUUCUAUUCCAGUUCCCACGUGAGGACGCCACCUGUCUUCCUCCUGGGGUUGUCAUGGGGUCCAUCAGAAGUAGGGGUGGAGAAACUGAGAGUGAGCGAUAGAGGAAAGGGAACAGGAAAGGAGUUCUUGCUGAGCGCCUGAUGCUGAAGACUAUAUACAGGUAUAGUCUUGUCACUUAGUUGCUAAACUAUGUCUCUUUCCCACCCCAUGGAUUAUAGCCCAGCAGGCAUAUCUGUCCAUGGGAUUUCCCAGGUAGGAAUACUAGAC